CUCAGGAAGUAAAAGCAACCUUUGGGAGAGGUGAGAUAAGAAGUCAGACCAUUGCCCACCGCCUGGAGCAGACCGCUCCCAGCCUAGAGCCUGCCUGCACCGCCGCUGGCAUAGGUGGAGGUUGCAACCCGUCUCCGGCAACCUCGAGCACAGCCAGGCUCUGCCCAGCUAUUUCCGGCCGCGCCCCGGAAGUGCUGAGAGGGACUUCCGCCCGGCGACGAGGCCUCGGAGCUGGUUGCUGCUCACUGGCGGAGAAAUACUGGUAUGCAUUUGGGUGCCGCUGGGGUGGGUGUUGCACAGCCGCAACCCAUCAGACCUCCUCUCCGCUCCUCCCUGGGUAGAAUGUGGGCAAGAACCCCAGGAGAGGCAGCCCCUCCUGGGACGGUGGGGAUUGUACCCAAAUGCCAGGAAAGGGUUUUUCUCAAGAUUUAGUGCUGCGGGGGCUCAGAGCUGGGACUACUUCCCUUCCAGUUACAACCCUGGUCUUCAUUGCCGUCCUCAGAGAGCUUCAUUGAGUAUCAACUUCGAGUGUGCUUCUGGUACCAGUUGGUAUCACUGCCCGCCAGAUCUUCAGCUCUCUUUUUCAACCAAAAGCGGGAGAUUGCAAAUAAUUGGAAAUAAAGUGUUCGAUGCUCUAAAUUCAGGAGAGGCUUCUUCCACCACUUAACUGUGCCCGUGACGUUUCCUUUUGUUUAUUUUUUGAGACGGAGUUUCGCGCUCGCUGCCCAGUUUGAAGUGUUCCGGAAAACUCUUCAAUUACAGGAAAAGGUGCAUGACUGCAUCUUCAGAGGAGUUGGUUUUGCUGGUACCAAGGAUUCUGCUAAUGAGAAAACUCCACAGUCCGGCAUACCGUAAGCUGGCUCCAGCAGCCCAGUUGACCAUGGCUGAGGCCAGUUCCCGAUCAUCCUGUCUGAGAAACACCAGCUCUUGCGUACAGUCAGGAAGUAGGCAAGAAAUGCCAGCUCUGGAAGCAGAGGGAGAAUAAGAUAGUUAUCCUCUAGUGCCACCAGGAAUAUACCACCAAAAUGUCCGUGACAGACUCU